rnacentral:rRNA from 1 species
ACGGAGGGGACAAGCGUUGUUCGGAUUUACUGGGCGUAAAGGGCGCGUAGGCGGACCUUCAAGUCGGAUGUGAAAACCAGCAGCUUAACUGCUGGCCUGCAUUCGAUACUGUUGGCCUUGAGUACGAGAGAGGAGAGUGGAAUUCCAGGUGUAGCGGUGAAAUGCGUAGAUAUCUGGAAGAACACCAGUAGCGAAGGCGGCUCUCUGGCUCGAUACUGACGCUUAAGCGCGAAGGCAUGGGGAGCAAACAG